GGAUUCCCAAGGGCACUGAAAACUCUAGGAGCUGCUGACCAGGGCAGUGCUUCCUAUCUAAAGCCAAACAGGUUAAUUCAGUUUUGCAAAUAGAAUUCUUUGUUGGCAACUUUUUCUUCAAGCAACAUAUAUAAUCUGUAUUUGGAAUUCACCUGAUGAACAUCAGAAUCAAAUUAACUACUUAACAGGAAACAGAAGCCAAAAAGUGCAAUCCAACCAUCCAGAACACUUCCAGCAAAUCUAGCAAAUUUUAAACAUGAUUCAUCCCUGAAAGACAACAUGAAGAAAGGAUGCAGCAUCUGGCAGACCUGAAUCCAAGGAAUCCAAGGCAGACCUGAAUCCAUGGUUAUAGCAUUAGUGGCAACAUGUAACUCUGUUUCUGCCCUUGCUCCUGUAAAUCUCAACAGUGAUAUUAUACCCAUAAGGUCGUCAUCAUCUUUACAUCAAACACUAAAGGGCAAAGGUGCAGACUGAGAGCUUCUAGAAUAAAAGCCUCUACCUGAGAUCAGUCAAGCUUUGGAACAUCUUCCAUGUAUCAGGACCAUUUGUAAAUCUGUGUCUAUGCCAGUUUCAGAUUUUGUCUUCUUUCUUAGAAAGCUCAACUAUUUACCUGGUCCUGACAAUCCUUUUUGCUUUACUUAUUGAAAAUCAUUGCUUAUAAGGAUGUCUGUAUAUUCCACACUGUAAAUUAGAUUGUAACUAUUAGGUUUUAAUAAAGUUUGUUCAGAAAAGGU